rnacentral:rRNA from 1 species
AGAGUUUGAUCCUGGCUCAGGAUGAACGCCGGCGGUGUGCCUAAUACAUGCAAGUCGAGCGCACUGGCCCAACUGAUAUGACGUGCUUGCACUGAUUUGACGAUGGAUUACCAGUGAGCGGCGGACGGGUGAGUAACACGUGGGCAACCUGCCCUAAAGCGGGGGAUAACAUUUGGAAACAGGUGCUAAUACCGCAUAACUACGAAAACCACAUGGUUUUCGUAUAAAAGAUGGUUUCGGCUAUCACUUUAGGAUGGGCCCGCGGUGCAUUAGCUAGUUGGUAGGGUAACGGCUUACCAAGGCAAUGAUGCAUAGCCGAGUUGAGAGACUGAUCGGCCACAAUGGAACUGAGACACGGUCCAUACUCCUACGGGAGGCAGCAGUAGGGAAUCUUCCACAAUGGGCGCAAGCCUGAUGGAGCAACACCGCGUGAGUGAAGAAGGGUUUCGGCUCGUAAAACUCUGUUGUUGAAGAAGAACGUGCAUGAGAGUAACUGUUCAUGCAGUGACGGUAUUCAACCAGAAAGUCACGGCUAACUACGUGCCAGCAGCCGCGGUAAUACGUAGGUGGCAAGCGUUAUCCGGAUUUAUUGGGCGUAAAGCGAGCGCAGGCGGUUGCUUAGGUCUGAUGUGAAAGCCUUCGGCUUAACCGAAGAAGUGCAUCGGAAACCGGGCGACUUGAGUGCAGAAGAGGACAGUGGAACUCCAUGUGUAGCGGUGGAAUGCGUAGAUAUAUGGAAGAACACCAGUGGCGAAGGCGGCUGUCUGGUCUGCAACUGACGCUGAGGCUCGAAAGCAUGGGUAGCGAACAGGAUUAGAUACCCUGGUAGUCCAUGCCGUAAACGAUGAGU